rnacentral:tRNA from 1 species
GCGCCCUUCGUCUAUCGGUCAGGACUCCACCCUUUCACGGGGGAGAGAGGGGUUCGAUUCCCCUAGGGCGCGCCA